CAGUCGCCGCGGGAAUACGUAGGUCCCGAGCGUUGUCCGGAUUUAUUGGGCGUAAAGCGAGCGCAGGCGGUUAGAUAAGUCUGAAGUUAAAGGCUGUGGCUUAACCAUAGUACGCUUUGGAAACUGUUUAACUUGAGUGCAGGAGGGGAGAGUGGAAUUCCAUGUGUAGCGGUGAAAUGCGUAGAUAUAUGGAGGAACACCGGUGGCGAAAGCGGCUCUCUGGCUUGUAACUGACGCUGAGGCUCGAAAGCGUGGGGAGCAAACAGGAUUAGAUACCCCUGUAGUCCCUGUCUCUUAUACA
rnacentral:rRNA from 1 species